UACGUAGGGUGCGAGCGUUGUCCGGAAUUAUUGGGCGUAAAGGGCUCGUAGGCGGUUUGUCGCGUCGGGAGUGAAAACUCAGGGCUUAACCCUGAGCCUGCUUCCGAUACGGGCAGAUUAGAGGUAUGCAGGGGAGAACGGAAUUCCUGGUGUAGCGGUGAAAUGCGCAGAUAUCAGGAGGAACACCGGUGGCGAAGGCGGUUCUCUGGGCAUUACCUGACGCUGAGGAGCGAAAGUGUGGGGAGCGAACAGG
rnacentral:rRNA from 1 species